GGCGAACGCUGGCGGCGUGCUUAACACAUGCAAGUCGAGCGGGGAACUUCGGUUCCCAGCGGCGGACGGGUGAGUAACACGUGGGUAACCUGCCUCAUAGUGGGGAAUAGCCUUCCGAAAGGAAGCUUAAUACCGCAUAAUACUCGGAAAUCACAUGUUUUCUGAGCCACAGGAUUGAUUCGCUAUGAGAUGGACCCGAGGCGCAUUAGCUUGUUGGGGAGGUAACGGCUCACCAAGGCUUCGAUGCGUAGCCGACCUGAGAGGGUGAUCGGCCACAUUGGAACUGAGACACGGUCCAGACUCCUACGGGAGGCAGCAGUGGGGAAUAUUGCACAAUGGGGGAAACCCUGAUGCAGCAACGCCGCGUGGGUGAUGAAGGUCGUCGGAUCGUAAAACUCUGUCUUAGGGGACGAUAAUGACGGUACCAUAGGAGGAAGCCACGGCUAACUACGUGCCAGCCGCCGCUGUAA
rnacentral:rRNA from 1 species